GGAGGGAUCGCAUAGUUUGGCUUAGUGCGCUGGUUUGCUAAACCGGUGUAUAGGUAACAAUCCUGUACCGAGAGUUCGAAUCUCUCUCCCUCCA
rnacentral:tRNA from 1 species